GUCUAUGGCCAUGCUACCCUUAACAAGCCUUAUCCCAUCUAUCUCAGAGGCUAAGCAGGAUAAGGCCUGGUUAGUACUUGGAUGGAAGACCACCUAGGAAGACCAGGUGCUGUAGGCA
rnacentral:rRNA from 1 species